rnacentral:rRNA from 1 species
GAUGAACGCUGGCGGCGUGCCUAAUACAUGCAAGUCGAGCGAACAGACGAGGAGCUUGCUCCUCUGACGUUAGCGGCGGACGGGCGAGUAACACGUGGAUAACCUACCUAUAAGACUGGGAUAACUUCGGGAAACCGGAGCUAAUACCGGAUAAUAUAUUGAACCGCAUGGUUCAAUAGUGAAAGACGGUUUUGCUGUCACUUAUAGAUGGAUCCGCGCCGCAUUAGCUAGUUGGUAAGGUAACGGCUUACCAAGGCAACGAUGCGUAGCCGACCUGAGAGGGUGAUCGGCCACACUGGAACUGAGACACGGUCCAGACUCCUACGGGAGGCAGCAGUAGGGAAUCUUCCGCAAUGGGCGAAAGCUUGACGGAGCAACGCCGCGUGAGUGAUGAAGGUCUUCGGAUCGUAAAACUCUGUUAUUAGGGAAGAACAAAUGUGUAAGUAACUAUGCACGUCUGGACGGUACCUAAUCAGAAAGCCACGGCUAACUACGU